AUCGCUUCCUCCUGGCCUUUUCGCUAGUGAUCAAAAGUGUAAGUAUCUGUUCUUAAAAUCAGCUUAAUAUCUGAUACGUCCCAUGUUGGGAUCUACGAUAUUAAAUGAUUUUUUGGAACAUGUCGAAGUGCUAGGGCUUCUCCACCUUUGCCGCGGUAUCGGCCCGGUAUUGCAGUACCUCCGGGAUUGGUCCACUCCCU